rnacentral:lncRNA from 1 species
CUCAGGCGCUGAAAGGACCUGUCAGAAUCCUCCCAGUUGCGGAGGCCAAAAGUCUGAAAACAAGGUGUCUGCAGGACCAACCUCUCUUCUGGAUGCUCUAGGUGAGAAUCUUUUCCAUGCCUUUCUCUUAGCUUCUGAUGUUGCCAUCAGAACUUCAGAUGGUGUUCCUUGGCAUCUAUUAAUAUUAAUACAUCAAUCCUUUUCAGUCUCAGCUUCUGUCUUCACAUGGCCCACUCCACGUCCUAUCUGUUUCUCUUCCCUCUUCUUGUAAAGAUAAGCCAUGUUAUUGUAAGC